AUUGAACGCUGGCGGCAGGCCUAACACAUGCAAGUCGAACGGUAACACAGAGAGCUUGCUCUCGGGUGACGAGUGGCGGACGGGUGAGUAAUGUCUGGGAAACUGCCCGAUGGAGGGGGAUAACUACUGGAAACGGUAGCUAAUACCGCAUAACGUCGCAAGACCAAAGUGGGGGACCUUCGGGCCUCACACCAUCGGAUGUGCCCAGAUGGGAUUAGCUAGUAGGUGGGAUAAUGGCUCACCUAGGCGACGAUCCCUAGCUGGUCUGAGAGGAUGACCAGCCACACUGGAACUGAGACACGGUCCAGACUCCUACGGGAGGCAGCAGUGGGGAAUAUUGCACAAUGGGCGCAAGCCUGAUGCAGCCAUGCCGCGUGUAUGAAGAAGGCCUUCGGGUUGUAAAGUACUUUCGGCGGGGAGGAAGGCGGUGAAGUUAAUAGCUUCACCGAUUGACGUUACCCGCAGAAGAAGCACCGGCUAACUCCGUGCCAGCCGCCGCAGUAA
rnacentral:rRNA from 1 species